AACGAACGUUAGCGGCGCGCCUAAGACAUGCAAGUCGAGCGAGAAAGGGAUUCGUCCCCGGUAAAGCGGCGCACGGGUGAGUAACACGUAGGUCAUCAACCCCCGGGUGGUGGAUAACCCUCCGAAAGGAGGGCUAAUACAGCAUGAUGUUAGCACUAACCAACGCGGGCCUCUUCACGAAAGCUCGCGCGUGGGGAUGAGCCGGCGGCCCAUCAGGUAGUUGGCGGAGUAAUAGCCCACCAAGCCAUAGACGGGUAGCCGGUCGGAGAGGAUGAACAGCCACACUGGAACUGAGACACGGUCCAGACCCCUACGGGAGGCAGCAGUCGGGAAUCUUCCGCAAUGGGCGAAAGCCUGACGGAGCGACGCCGCGUGAGCGAUGAAGGCCUUCGGGUUGUAAAGCUCUGUGGGGAGAGAAGAAUAAGUUCAGGUCAAUACCCUGAAUGAUGACGGUAUCUCCUUAGCAAGCACCGGCUAACUCUGUGCCAGCAGCCGCCGUAAAAC
rnacentral:rRNA from 1 species